rnacentral:rRNA from 1 species
AGAGUUUGAUCCUGGCUCAGAAUCAACGCUGGCGGCGCGCCUAACACAUGCAAGUCGAACGAGAAAGGGGAGUAAUCCCUGAGUAAAGUGGCGUACGGGUGAGUAACACGUGGAUCAUCUACCUCUUUGUGUGGAAUAACCCUGGGAAACCGGAGCUAAUACCGCAUAAGCCUGAGAAGGGAAAGCAGCAAUGCGCUGAGAGAGGAGUCCGCGGCCGAUUAGCUAGUUGGCGGGGCAAUGGCCCACCAAGGCAAAGAUCGGUAGCCGGCCUGAGAGGGCACACGGCCACACUGGCACUGAAACACGGGCCAGACUCCUACGGGAGGCAGCAGUGGGGAAUCUUGCACAAUGGGGGAAACCCUGAUGCAGCGACGCCGCGUGAGCGAUGAAGCCCCUCGGGGUGUAAAGCUCUUUCGGCAGGGAAGAUGAUGACGGUACCUGCAGAAGCAGCUGCGGCUAACUACGUGCCAGCAGCCGCGGUAAUACGUAGGCAGCAAGCGUUGUUCGGAGUUACUGGGCGUAAAGGGUGUGUAGGCGGUUCUUUAAGUUUGGUGUGAAAUCUCCCGGCUCAACUGGGAGGGUGCGCCGAAUACUGAGGGGCUAGAGUGCGGGAGAGGAAAGUGGAAUUCCUGGUGUAGCGGUGAAAUGCGUAGAUAUCAGGAGGAACACCGGUGGUGUAAACGGCUUUCUGGACCGUAACUGACGCUGAGACACGAAAGCGUGGGUAGCAAACAGGAUUAGAUACCCUGGUAGUCC